UCCCACCCGGUAAGGUUGACCACCGCCGGAAGCGAGCCCUGCGUAGUCGUCCGUGAGGGCGGCACGAGGCAUGGGCAGUGAGUGUGAACGCCGUGUGAUUGAGCCACGAAAUAGUAUUGGUUGGUUUGGACUCUGUGGUCAUACUAGCAGGGUCAACAGUCAGGCGCUGUAAUGGUCUGGCGUCUGGACGGCCCGGGGUCUGAGAGC
rnacentral:ncRNA from 1 species